AUAGCCGCAGUACCCUGACUGUGCAAAGGUAGCAUAAUAAAUUGGCCUAUAAUUGAGGUCUGGUAUGAAUGAAGAUAUGGGGAUAGGCUAUAUAGAUGGCGCACCCGAAAAUUGCUCAGUAGGUGAAAAAACCUACAGGUUUUUAAUAGACGAGAAGACCCUAGAAAUUUUUAAGAAUACGUUAACAUUUGUUUUUGUUGGGGCGACACAGUAGCAGAUAACCUACUAAGAUAUAUAGGCUUGAUAUAUUAAGGAUAAAUAAAUUACUCUAGGGAUAACAGCAUAAUAUUUAAAAGUUUGUGACCUCGAUGUUGGACUAGGAAACUAUAACCCAGAAGGCUAUUAGUAAAGCUCUGUUCG
rnacentral:rRNA from 1 species